GACGAAACGUGCGAACGUUGUUCGGAAUCACUGGGCUUAAAGGGCGCGUAGGCGGGUUCGCCAGUCUGUGGUGAAAGCCUCCAGCUUAACUGGAGAAGUGCCAUGGAUACUGCGCAUCUUGAGGAGGGUAGGGGCGUCUGGAACGGUCGGUGGAGCGGUGAAAUGCGUUGAUAUCGACCGGAACUCCGGUGGCGAAGGCGAGGCGCUGGACCCUUUCUGACGCUGAGGCGCGAAAGCCAGGGGAGCAAACGGG
rnacentral:rRNA from 1 species